AGCGAACGCUGGCGGCAGGCCUAACACAUGCAAGUCGAACGAACCUUUCGGGGUUAGUGGCGGACGGGUGAGUAACACGUGGGAACGUGCCUUUAGGUUCGGAAUAACUCAGGGAAACUUGUGCUAAUACCGAAUGUGCCCUUCGGGGGAAAGAUUUAUCGCCGUUAGAGCGGCCCGCGUCUGAUUAGCUAGUUGGUUGAGGUAAUGGCUCACCAAGGCGACGAUCAGUAGCUGGUCUGAGAGGAUGAUCAGCCACAUUGGGACUGAGACACGGCCCAAACUCCUACGGGAAGCAGCAGUGGGGAAUCUUGCGCAAUGGGCGAAAGCCUGACGCAGCCAUGCCGCGUGAAUGAUGAAGGUAUUAGGAUUGUAAAAUUCUUUCACCGGGGACGAUAAUGACGGUACCCGGAGAAGAAGCCCCGGCUAACUUCGUG
rnacentral:rRNA from 1 species